rnacentral:rRNA from 1 species
UACGUAGGGAGGCGAGCGUUGUCCGGAAUUACUGGGCGUAAAGAGCGCGUAGGCGGGCGCGAUACGACCGAUGUGAAAGCCCCCGGCUCAACUGGGGAGGGUCAUCGGUAACGGUCGUGCUAUGAGGUGCAGGGAGAGGGAAGUGGAACUCCGGGAGUAGCGGUGAAAUGCGUAGAGACCCGGAGGAACACCAGUGGCGAAGGCGGCUCACUGGACCGGUUCUGACGCGUGAGGCGGCGAAAGCGGUGGGGAGCAAACGGG